rnacentral:tRNA from 1 species
GCUUUCAAAGGAUAACAGCUUAUCCAUUGGUCUUAGGAACCAAAAACUCUUGGUGCAAAUCCAAGUGACAGCU